rnacentral:rRNA from 1 species
AGCGAACGCUGGCGGCAGGCUUAACACAUGCAAGUCGAGCGGGCGUAGCAAUACGUCAGCGGCAGACGGGUGAGUAACGCGUGGGAACGUACCUUUUGGUUCGGAACAACUGAGGGAAACUUCAGCUAAUACCGGAUAAGCCCUAACGGGGAAAGAUUUAUCGCCGAAAGAUCGGCCCGCGUCUGAUUAGCUAGUUGGUGAGGUAACGGCUCACCAAGGCGACGAUCAGUAGCUGGUCUGAGAGGAUGAUCAGCCACACUGGGACUGAGACACGGCCCAGACUCCUACGGGAGGCAGCAGUGGGGAAUAUUGGACAAUGGGGGCAACCCUGAUCCAGCCAUGCCGCGUGAGUGAUGAAGGCCCUAGGGUUGUAAAGCUCUAUUUG